AGCGAACGCUGGCGGCAGGCCUAACACAUGCAAGUCGAACGAACCUUUCGGGGUUAGUGGCGGACGGGUGAGUAACACGUGGGAACGUGCCUUUAGGUUCGGAAUAACUCAGGGAAACUUGUGCUAAUACCGAAUGUGCCCUUCGGGGGAAAGAUUUAUCGCCUUUAGAGCGGCCCGCGUCUGAUUAGCUAGUUGGUUGAGGUAAUGGCUCACCAAGGCGACGAUCAGUAGCUGGUCUGAGAGGACGAUCAGCCACAUUGGGACUGGGACACGGCCCAAACUCCUACGGGAGGCAGCAGCGGGGAAUCUUGCGCAAUGGGCGAAAGCCUGACGCAGCCAUGCCGCGUGAAUGAUGAAGGUCUUAGGAUUGUAAAAUUCUUUCACCGGGGACGAUAAUGACGGUACCCGGAGAAGAAGCCCCGGCUAACUUCGUG
rnacentral:rRNA from 1 species